GGGGAAUAUUGCGCAAUGGGGGAAACCCUGACGCAGCAACGCCGCGUGAAGGAUGAAGGUUUUCGGAUCGUAAACUUCUUUGAUGAGGGACGAAGAAUGACGGUACCUCAAAAACAAGCCACGGCUAACUACGUGCCAGCAGCCGCGGUAAUACGUAGGUGGCGAGCGUUGUCCGGAAUUACUGGGUGUAAAGGGCGUGUAGGCGGGGAUACAAGUCAGAUGUGAAAUACCGUGGCUUAACCACGGGGCUGCAUCUGAAACUGUAUUUCUUGAGUGUCGGAGAGGACAGUGGAAUUCCCAGUGUAGCGGUGAAAUGCGUAGAUAUUGGGAGGAACACCAGUGGCGAAGGCGACUUUCUGGACGAUAACUGACGCUGAGGCGCGUAAGCGUGGGGAGCAAACA
rnacentral:rRNA from 1 species